CCACGGUGAAUACGUUCCCGGGCCUUGUACACACCGCCCGUCACGCCAUGGAAGUCGGGGGCACCCGAAGUCGUCCCUCGCGGACGCCGAAGGUGAAACCGAUGACUGGGGCG
rnacentral:rRNA from 1 species